CGGGGGGCGUCCAGAGGUGUGGGAGGGGCAGACUGGGGUGCCCUCCAGGAAUCGGAAGGCGGCCAGGGAGAGAACGCAGCCGGCUGCGCUGGGGCGGCCUUCGCCCUCCUGGCAGCGGGAUCCUGGCGUGACCUCCAAAUGGCCCAGCUCCUCCUGGCACUGAAACUGAAGAAAGUGGUAACAUGAACUGUCCCCUCUGAUCUUUGCUUUGGCAACUGAGAAGCUCAGAGCCUAAUUUUCAGCUUUCAGCUCUUGUAUAUGAGCAUAAUCUUAAAUCAUCUCAGAAGGACAAGGUCCGCCAGUUCAUGGCAUUUACUCAGGCUGGCAAGAGAAGUGCCGCCCACUGCUUAGAGCAGAGCAAGUAGACGGCAGACCUGGCCACGGACAGCUGCUUCCUGCACCUGAGCGUGUUCACAGGGAAUCCAUGAGCGCCUCCGUGGACAGGAAGAGACUGGAGCGGCUGUGUAACAUGUCCCAAGACCCACAAGAUGAAAAUAAAAUUGGAAUUGAUGGAAUUCAACAGUUUUGUGAUGAUUUAAGCCUAGAUCCUGCCAGUAUCACAGUUUUGCUUAUAGCUUGGAAAUUCAGGGCUUCAACUCAAUGUGAAUUUAGCAAAAAGGAAUUUGUAGACGGCAUGACAGAACUUGGGAAAAAGAAAAGGUGCUUUUACUCAGGAGGCCACAACAUGGGGAGAUGGGAGACUGGUGUCCUCAGACCACCUCUGUUGCUGGUUAGGGGCCAGAAAAUUGAAAGUGGAGUGUCAGUCAGCUCCAGUAAUCCUCUGGAGAUUCGUCCUGCAGUGGUCUGGUCGGUGUCAUCUCCAUGGUUUUCUGCUUCUGUCCUCUUAAGGCCCUGGAGUUCUGUGGAUACACAUCCUGUGAGUUCCCGGUUCCCCAGCUCCAGCCCAAGGCAGGCAGAGCAGGAUGGUAUUAGCACCUGGGAUCACAUUCCCUGAAGACCUCAUAUGAUGUGUCCACUAGAGACAUUUUGACACAGAGAAACCAACCAGUAUGUGGAUGAGUGAGACAGCAAGGCGGGAAGGUCUUGUAAAUGAAUUAAAGAGCAAGGGGGAGAGGGAAGAGUGGGGGCAGGAGGAAUCUGAAGACCGUCUCUCAGUGGUAAAAGUUUUGUUUUACCAGGACAGUAAUAGUUUAUUUAAAGCAGAAAUUAAAACUCUAAAAAAAAUGAUAUAAAUCUGCCAGCACAGUGGGGAGUAUGUCCUCCCAUCUUCUCACACACAUCUUACCAAUUGGUAGACUAAGUGGGUGAAGAAUCAGUGGUAAAUAGAAGAUUCAGAAAAGGAAAUAGAACGUUGCCUUGAUGUUUAGGAAUACAUAGUCUUUUCAAAAAGAACAUUUAUGAAUAUUGACCAUAAACAGGGCCAUAAGGUAAGGUACAGCAAUGUCCCAGAGUUGAAGUGACACAGAACGUGUUCUCUGACCACAGUACAACUAAGAAAGGAAUAUAACAGAAAGUUCGCUAGAUAGGUUGGAAUCUGUGUGGAUUCUGUACCUCUGAAUAACCCUUGGGUUGAGAAAGAAGUUACAGCAGAAAUUAAAGUAUUUUGAGGGAUGAAACUAUGAGAACAUGUAGGAGUCAGCUUCUUAGAUGCAUAUUUUAGAAAGUUGAAACUCAGUAAGGAAAGCAUCCAUCUCAGCAAGUAGUGAAAAGGACAGGAGAUUAAAACUCAGUGCAGACAGAGGGAAUUAAAAUUUUUAAACAGGCAGUAAUUUAAUGAUUUUUUUAAAAAGCUAUAAGUAGAAAGGAUUCUUAAAGCCAAAAACUUGACAUUUGAGAAGACCAGUAAAGUAAUGAAUGCCACAUAAGCCAUAUAGAAAGAAAGGGGACAUUGCUAUAAACCCUACAAAUAAAAUGAGCCUAUUAUGAACAACUGUAUGUUUAUAAAUUUGAAAGCUUAAAUGAAAUACAGAAGUUCUUUUAAAAAUGACAACUUACUGAAAUGGGCCUGUGAAGACAUAGUUCCGUAACUCUUAGAGAAUCAGAACCCAUAAUUUAAAAUCUUUUCAACGAGAAAACUUGAGGCCAUGGUUGGUUCACUGGCACAUCUUCCCCAACUUUUAAUAAAGAGAAUAACACCAGUUUCACACCAGAGAAGAGUACAGGAAAAAACACUCCUAGCAUGUUUUGAGGCCAGCAUAGCCUCAAUAGUAAGACCUAGAAAGGACAUGUUGAAAAGAGAAAAUUAUAAGCUGCUCUCAGUCAUAAGAAUCAAAAGACACAUAUGAUGAACAGAAGAUGCAAAAAUACUAACCAGAUUUUCAGCAAAAUAAAUCAAGCCUCCAAAGCGAGUCAACCAAAAAUCAGGAUUAAUCAUCAUGACAGUUUGUUGUAGCCCAGAAAUGCAAGAUCUGUUUAACAUUACAAAGUCAAUUAAUGUAAUUCAUUGUAGUAACAGAAAAGGGAGGGGUGGGUAUUUUAUCAGCAUGUAACAGGGCACUUGCAGUGAUUAGCAGUAUGUGGGGUGGGGCAGGAUGAGAGCCAGUAAAUAAACCCGUGUUUCCAGAACACUGGAUUUAUGGCAGAGGUAGCCUUUUAGAGAUGUGGAGAAAAAAUGGCUUUUCACGAAAGGGUCCUGAGGGAACUGGCUAGUCGUGUGGGAAAAGGUGUCUUCCCUGGUGGCUCAGAUGGUGAAGAGCUCACCUGCAAAGCAGGAGACCCAGGUUCAAUCCCUUGGUGGGAAGAUCUCCUGGAGAAGGAAAUGGCCACCCACUCCAGCAUUCUUGCUUAGAGAAUUCCAUGGACGGUGGAGCCUGGCGGGCUGCAGUCAAUGGGACCACAAAGAGUUGGACAUGACUGAGCGACUAACACUUUGAUGGGAGAAGGUUCGUCUUGGUCUCUGCCUCACACAGAACAUAAAUUCAGUUCAGUGAGCUGUAGAUCUCAGUGCGAAAGGCUGAAGGCAGAAACCUUUAGAAAAUGGGAGAAUACCUGCGGCCGUCCAGUAGCCCAGGUGGUGAAACAUCGGAAACCACUGCAGGGAAGACGAGUGAGUAAAUUGUUCUGCCCUGAAAUCAGAACUUCUGGCCAGAAAUAGCACCAGGAGGCAGCACGUGGGGAAGGGGGUGGGGGCUGUGAGAUGCUCUGCUGACAGGAUCCCCACAAAACAAGAAAAGGAUGACCUGGUUGAGAAUGGACAGGGACACACACACGACCACGCCCUUCACAGAAGAUGCUUUCCAAGGGGCCAGUGAAGAUACAAGCAGGAACUCAGCCUCACUCCUGGGGUGAGGUAGGGGGCUGCAGGUCAAGAGCACAUCAAAAUAGGACCUCCCAGGUCCUCUUGUAGGACAGCUGCUGAGUGUCGCUGUUGGGCAGUCACCCCGGAGAAGGGCUUGACAAGACUUGUGGAAUUGCGGGUGGGUGUCUGCCUCACACAUGCACUGUGUGCCGGGAUACACAUACGGGAACCUUCAACAUUCUUCAUGACCGGAAAACUGGAAGCAGCCGAAAUGCUUACCUGUAGCAAGCAGGGUUGCAGUGUGAGCACAGUGGCAUGCUGUGAGAUGACGGAGAUGGACGACCAGAGCCCGCGUGUCACGGAUGAGCCUCGCACACACAACGUUGGCACAGACGCCCAGACACAGAGUAGACCACGGGAGUCCCCGUUUGUUAACUGCAAAGCAGGGAUAACUGAUGGGCCUGCCAAGGAGGCGCUAGUGCUGUGAUGGAGGCGCGGGGAAGAGCCGGGUGACGGCCUGGAGGAGGGGGCGGUGGUCCCGCUCACUCGCCAGACACCGAGCCCCACGCCGGCUCCACCCGCCUCACCGGGGCACGCGGGUGAGUGACAUGUGGCUCUCAGCCUCCUCCUUGCCGGGCAGUCAAAAUAAACGACAGAUUUUAUGUUUCA